ensembl:lncRNA
UGAGUUGUAGUGUUGAGCUGUAGUGUUGAGCUGUAGUGUGUAAGUGUUGAGUUGUAGCGUUGAGCUGUAGUGUUGAGCUGUAGUGUGUAAGUGUUGAGUUGUAGUGUUGAGCUGUAGUGUGUAAGUGUUGAGCUGUAGUGUUGAGCUGUAGUGUGUAAGUGUUGAGCUGUAGUGUGUAAGUGUUGAGUUGUAGUGUUGAGCUGUAGUGUGUAAGUGUUGAGUUGUAGUGUUGAGCUGUAGUGUGUAAGUGUUGAGCUGUAGUGUUGUUGAGCUGUAGUGUGUAAGUGUUGAGUUGUAGUGUUGAGCUG